rnacentral:lncRNA from 10 species
AUAUAAAGAUAAAAGACACAGAACAUGUUUUAUGUAAUCACUUCAAUAAUGGAUGCUACUGCAAAACUAGAUAUUGAAUGCUGAACAUCAAGAUGCUAAUCCCUGAGGGUACGAAGACAAUGGAGACACAGUGCUGCAUACGUGAAGUGCCAACAGAUCAGAGGCAUUAGAUAUACAGGUCAACCAUUACACUUGAAGUAUGAUGCGUGUGAAGAUGGAAGAGGAUAGCAGAGAGGGGAUGGGACAUCUAGAAAGAGUCCA